UGGGAUUCCUACAUCUUAUAGCUUUAUCA
rnacentral:piRNA from 1 species